AUACGGGGGGGGCGAGCGUUCUCCGGAAUCAUUGGGCGUAAAGGGUGAGUAGGCGGGAUGGUAAGUCAGAGGUGAAAGUCCAGGGCUCAACUCUGGAUCUGCCUCUGAUACUGCUGUCCUCGAGUGCGGGAGAGGGAAGUGGAAUUCCCGGUGUAGCGGUGAAAUGCGUAGAUAUCGGGAAGAACACCAGUGGCGAAGGCGGCUUCCUGGCCCGCAACUGACGCUGAAUCACGAAAGCGUGGGGAGCAAACAGGAUUAGAUACCCUAGUAGUCC
rnacentral:rRNA from 1 species